AUUGAACGCUGGCGGCAGGCCUAACACAUGCAAGUCGAACGGUAACAGGAAGAAGCUUGCUUCUUUGCUGACGAGUGGCGGACGGGUGAGGAAUGUCUGGGAAACUGCCUGAUGGAGGGGGAUAACUACUGGAAACGGUAGCUAAUACCGCAUAACGUCGCAAGACCAAAAAGGGGGACCUUCGGGCCUCUUGCCAUCGGAUGUGCCCAGAUGGGAUUAGCUAGUAGGUGGGGUAACGGCUCACCUAGGCGACGAUCCCUGGCUGGUCUGAGAGGAUGACCGGCCACCCUGGAACUGAGACACGGUCCAGACUCCUACGGGAGGCAGCAGUGGGGAAUAUUGCACAAUGGGCGCAAGCCUGAUGCAGCCAUGCCGCGUGUAUGAAGAAGGCCUUCGGGUUGUAAAGUACUUUCAGCGGGGAGGAAGGGAGUAAAGUUAAUACCUUCGCUCAUUGACGUUACCCGCAGAAGAAGCACCGGCUAACUCCGUG
rnacentral:rRNA from 1 species